GACGAACGCUGGCGGCGUGCCUAAUACAUGCCAGUCGAGCGGACUUUCCUGAGUGCUUGCACUCCGGAAGGUUAGCGGCGUUCGGGUGGGUAACACGUAGGCUACCUGCCCAUACUACCGGGAUAACAUUCGGAAACGAAUGCUAAUACCGUAUAGACGGACUUCUCUUAUUAGGGGAUCGGGAAAGGCAGAGCAAUCUGCCGCCUCUACAUGGGCCUCCUGCGCAUUAUUAAGUUGGUGGGGUAACGGCCUACCAAGGAGACGAUGCGAAACAGACCGGGAAGGGGGACCGGCCACACGGGAACUGGAACAGGGCCCAGACUCCUAGGGAAGGCAGAAGUAGGGAAUCUUGGGCAAUGGACGAAAGUCGGACGGAGCAACGCCGCGUGAGUGAGGAAGGCUUUCGGGUCGUAAAGCUCUGUUGACAGGGAAGAACGGUGAGGGGAGGAACAGCCCUUGCCAUGACGGUACCUGAGAAGAAAGCCCCGGCUAACUACGUG
rnacentral:rRNA from 1 species